AUGAACGCUGGCGGCGCGCCUAACACAUGCAAGUCGAACGAUUAAACCGCCCUUGGGCGGAUAUACAGUGGCGAACGGGUGAGUAACGCGUGACCAACCUUCCCCCCGCAUCGGGACAACCCGGGGAAACCCGGGCUAAUACCGGAUAUGCCGGGUAUGGCGCAUGUCAUACCCAGGAAAGCUUUUGCGGCGGGGGAUGGGGUCGCGUCCCAUCAGGUAGACGGCGGGGUAGUAGCCCACCGUGCCAACGACGGGUAGCCGGGUUGAGAGACCGACCGGCCACAUUGGGACUGAGAUACGGCCCAGACUCCUACGGGAGGCAGCAGUGGGGAAUCUUGCGCAAUGGGGGAAACCCUGACGCAGCGACGCCGCGUGCGGGAUGGAGGCCUUCGGGCCGUGAACCGCUUUCAGCA
rnacentral:rRNA from 1 species